rnacentral:rRNA from 1 species
UUUCCAUAAAUGGAUUUGGUGCCUUCCGGAAUCUGAGACAGGUGCUGCGUGGGUGUCGUCGACUCGUGUUGUGAAAUGUUGGGUUAAGUCCCCCAACGAGCGCACCCCUUAUCCUUUGUUGCCAUCGGUUCGGCCGGGAACUCAAAGGAGACUGCCAGUGAUAAACUGGAGGAAGGUGGGGAUGACUUCAAGUCAUCAUGGCCCUUACCAGUAGGGCUACACACGUGCUACAAUGGCGCAUACAAAGAGAAGCGACCUCGCGAGAGCAAGCGGACCUCAUAAAGUGCGUCGUAAUCCGGAUUGGAGUCUGCAACUCGACUCCAUGAAUUCCGAAUCGCUAGUAAUCGUAUAUCAAAAUGCUACUGUGAAUACGUUCCCGGGUCUUG